GGCACAUCUCGUCCAGGAAAGGGGAGUGAUUUGGAGAUAUAGGUAAAAGGAGGCACAAUGCAGGUAUGUCUAAAAUAAUACACAGUGGAGAGAAAGUGGAUGGAGUUUUUCUCCUUUUCAUUACUAGAACUCAGGGGCAUCCAGACAGAAGUUGGGAGAUUCAAGACAGACCAAUUUAAGUGCUUCGUCAAGCAGCAGAGUUAAACUGUGGAAUUUGCUCUCAGCCUUCAUACCCUCCAACAUUUCUCCAAUAAAAUUUUUGUUGUUUAGUCGUGUUCGACUCUUUGUGACCCCAUGGACCAGAGCACGCCAGGCACUCCUGUCUUCCACUGCCUCCCGCAGUUUGGUCAAACUCAUGCUGGUAGCUUCAAGAACACUGUCCAACCAUCUCAUUCUCUGUCGUCCCCUUCUCCUUGUGCCCUCCAUCUUUCCCAACAUCAGGGUCUUUUCCAGGGAGUCUUCUCUUCUCAUGAGGUGGCCAAAGUAUUGGAGCCUCAGCUUCGCGAUCUGUCCUUCCAGUGAGCACUCAGGGCUGAUUUCCUUCAGAAUGGGUAGGUUUGAUCUUCUUGCAGUCCAUGGGACUCUCAAGAGUCUCCUCCAGCACCAUCAAAAGCAUCAAUUCUUCGGCGAUCAGCCUUAUUUAUGGUCCAGCUCUCACUUCCAUACAUCACUACUGGGAAAACCAUAGCUUUAACUAUACGGACCUUUGUUGGCAAGGUGAUGUCUCUGCUUUUUAAGAUGCUGUCUCGGUUUGUCACUGCUUUUCUCCCAAGAAGCAGGCGUCUUUUAAUUUCGUGACUGCUGUCACCAUAUGCAGUGAUCAUGGAGCCCAAGAAAGUAAAAUCUCUAGCUGUCUCCAUUUCUUCCCCUUCUAUUUGCCAGGAGGUGAGGGGCCCAGUGGCCAUGAUCUUCGGUUUUUUGAUGUUGAGCUUCAGACCAUAUUUUGUGCUCUCCUCAUUCACCCUCAUUAAAAGGUUCUUUAAUUCCUCCUCACUUUCUGCCAAUAAAAAUAGGGACGUCCUAUUCCAUGAUAAUUAUAUAUUUUAUUAUUUAUACCCCACCCAUCUGACUGGGUUGCCCCAGCCACUCUAGGCAGCUUCCAACAUAUAUAAAAACAUAAUAAAACAUUAUUUAUUUAUUUUUUAUUUAAAAAAGCCUUCCCUAUACGGGGCUGCCUUCAGAUGCCUUCUAAAGGUUGUAUAGUUUUCUCCUUGGCUCGGGGGUCGCAUAACUCCAUACCCUCCAAUGAAAAUAGGAGACAUCCUACCAUACCCUCCAACAUUUCUCUAAUGAAAAUAGGAACCUCAUAAGGAAAAGCAGGACAUUCUGGGAUCAAAUCAGAAACCAGGAGGGCUUCUGUAAAUAUGGGACUGUCCCUGGAAAAUAGGUACCCUUGGAAGGUCUGAAAUUUUGGAUGGCUUUAAAAGAGGAUUUAGCCAAAUUCACGGCUGCUAAACCUGAUACCUUCUCCUGGAGUGUUUUUGCCAUGCUAAGGUGUCUCUUUGAACUAGGAUACCGUAUUUUUCUGUGUAUAACACACCCCCAUGUAUAAGACGCCCCCUAUUUGGGGGGACUCCAAAUUAAGAAAAUGGGGGGAAAUGCCCAGAGUUGUUGAGCUUUUUGGGGGGGGAGGGUUGACAAAAACUGCUCACCCGACAGAACUACGAUGCCACUCACGCGCAUCACAAACACCUCCAAUCCACUGUCCCAUUGCCGGCAUAAGCCACCAAUCGCCCGCCCAAUUGCUGCAGCAUCAGACAAUCAAGCCCAGCCCUUACUCAAAAUAGUUGAGUGGAUGCUCUAUGGUUCCUGGAAACAACAUAUAACACGUCCCCCCCAAUGAACUACCUGUGUAUAAGACGAGCCCAAAAUUUCAACGCUAUUUUAAUUUUUUUAAAACCCCUAGUGUUAUACAUGGAAAAAUACGGUAAUUCAUUUGCUUGGAUGGAGAAUCGAGAGGGAUGCAAGCGUAGAAACUAGCCUGUUGUAGAGAGGUAAAAUUAGCAUCCAUUGCGACACCCACUUUGGAUUCUACCUCCACCCACCACUAGCACUUGUGUCCAUCCACACACACACACCCCUCCAAAAGUUGCCUGGACUGGAAUGGGCCAAAGAAGAUUCCCCCACCUGUUUGCUAUUCUAAGCACCUCAGGGCAGGGGCCUGUUCUCCUGGACUUUCGUAAAACACUGUGCAUAUUUGAUGGCACAAAUGAGCAUUAAUCGCUGCCGUGCACUCGGUCAUUGGCGAGCUGUAAAGGUAAAAGGAAGGGACGCGGGUGGCGCUGUGGGUAAAACUUCAGCGCCUAGGACUUGCCGAUCGCAUGGUCGGCGGUUCGAAUCCCUGUGGCGGGGUGCGCUCCCGUCGUUCGGUCCCAGCACUUGCCAACCUAGCAGUUCGAAAGCACCUCCGGGUGCAAGUAGAUAAAUAGGGAUCGCUUACCAGCGGGACGGUAAACGGCGUUCCGUGUGCUGCGCUGGCUCGCCAGAUGCAGCUUGUCACGCUGGCCACGUGACCCGGAAGUGUCUGCGGACAGCGCCGGCUCCCGGCCUCUAGAGUGAGAUGAGAGCACAACCCUAGAGUCUGGCAAGACUGGCCCGUACGGGCAGGGGUACCUUUACCUUUAAAGGUAAAGGGACCCCUGACCAUUAGGUCCAGUCAUGGCCGACUCUGGGGUUGUGGGCUCAUCUCGUUUUAUUGGCCGAGGGAGCCGGCGUACAGCUUCCAGGUCAUGUGGCCAGAAUGACUAAGGCGCUUCUGACAAACCAGAGCAGCGCACGGAAACACCGCUUACCUUCCCACCGGAGUGGUACCUAUUUAUCUACUUGCACUUUGACGUGCUUUCAAACUGCUAGGUUGGCAGGAGCAGGGACCGAGCAACGGGAGCUCACCCCGUCGUGGGGAUUUGAACUGCCAACCUUCUGAUCAGCAAGUCCUUGGCUCUGUGGUUUAACCCACAGCGCCAUCCGCAUCCCUUGGCGAACUGUAGGCCAUGCAAAUGCAGCAGAGUGUGUUUUUCCACCUGGAGUCUGGAAAGCCACAACGGUCUCAGAUGUAAGCAAUACAUGUUUAAUUCUGACAAGCCAUUUCUGACAAGCCCCACCUUUCCAUGGCUUGCCGGCCACCACAAUUCUGCAGCAAGGGGCAGGGGAAAGGGCACAGAUACAGAGCAUUAUGAUACAACGGUACAAAUGAUAAAUUAUACCCAUACAAUGAAAAGGUCAACAGCACAAGUUCAAAUCGAAAGUAACCUGCUCUCAACAUGUUAGAAAACAGCCUGUUAAAUUUGUAUCUAUGGGUGUGCAUUACCACUUGAGAGUGUGUGCAUGUUUUCGCCGUUAAAAAUUAAACUAGAUAUGCCUCCGCAGCUGACAACAAUGUUAAUAAAGAGUACAGGAUGCAUUAAAAAUGGCAACAGCCAUAGGGAAAGGAGUAGCCUUUGUAACAGUUGUCUUGAGAUAAUUUGAGUGGGCCCCAGCGGGCAAAAAACUAGAGGCUCCCCACCUGUACAGUAUUGUAUGGUUCUGUUUGGGAAUACAGGCAGGCCCCUCCGUUACACAUGUACCAUAGGUGGUGCGACCAUGUAUACAUGCAUCACACCAAACCUGGAAGUGACCCGGAAACGGACAUAAAAUAUGUCACUAAAAAGGUGGGCCAAAAUGGAGCGUUUGCAAACUUUUUCAAUUGCAUGUGAUUUCAUGGAAGCGUGCAAUGACCCAGAACACAAAUCCCGCGAAAAUCGGGCAUUGCCUGUAUAGAAGAAACAGUGCCCCAUCUCAGGUUGUUAAGAGAUGUUUCUCUACAAUGUCAAGUCAAUAUGUUUUUGUGAUCGGAGCAAAAUGGCAUGCUUAGGAAAAUGAUAAAUGAGAACAUAAUUUAUGAUUUUUUAAAAAUGUGGCUUAAAAAAAAAAAGCCUUUAAAUGAUGAUUUAAAGUUCUCUUGACUUAAAAUAUCAAAAACCAGCCUCUUGUUCUCGACCUGCUCCAAACCCUGGCUGAGCAAAGAACUGUCAGCAGCAACACGCCCUUGAGCCCUGUUAAGGCAGGAUGAUUUGCUCCAGGGAAGGAGGGCAGAGCGCCAUAGCUCUCCACCUAUUCUGGCCCCCAGUGGGAUCCGGGCACUUGUCUGCUCUGGUAAGAAGUUACUUGUACGCAUGAACAAACUUUUAAAUGUCUCAAAAGAGGCGUUUUUACUGCAUUGUCACGGGGAACGGACAGUUGAGUAGCAGGCAGCCUCGAGUCCCCUUCUGCAUGAGGAAUCGGCUGCAUGCCCCUUUGCCUCCAUGCUAUUUGACUUUAAGCAGUGGCUUCCCACAAGGCGUUGCUGCAGAGAAGAGGCAAAACUGCACCGGCACCGCAGCGCGACUCCUGCUCCCUUCCAGCGGCAUUCUGGCGGGCUGCGAUUCUGCUAGGACACAAUGCAAAACAUCUUUGAGCUGGUCGCACACCACACUUCAGCUUUGAGUAGCAGAAUGUUAACAACCGCAUCGCCUUUUUCGAGGGCUUAAAAUGACACAAUGGUUUCACAAAAUCUUUGGUCAACUUGACCAGUAAGGCUGUUUUUCGAUACCCUUUCUUUCAAAAGCAUUAAAUUGCUUUAUUUGAAGAAGAUUGCCAGGGGUGUGGGUGUGUGUAGCCAGGAGAGAAAGAGAGACAAGAAGCGUCAGAAAACAGAUGUGUGUUUUUUAAUCUACACUUCAUGUUUAUUUAAGAAAAGCAUUACCUUGAGCAGGAAACAUUUGGAAUACGGAUGGCUAAGAUGUUUUAUUUAUUUAUUUUUCAUAUUUUAGGAAAACCCCUUGAAUGUGGAUCGAGACCUGUCCCAUGAUGUAAGCAUGACCAAAUGUGUCAAUUUCAAUUUCUCUCGUUUUUCUGAUAUUAACUUUGGUCUGCCCCAUUUUCUCACCAGGGUGCAAUUUUUAUAAAUCCUGCACAAAAAUGUGAUUGCGUUUUUGUGCACGCCUUCCUCCAUGUAAUAUUUUUUUUUCCCAAUUUUCAAAUAAUUCCCCCUAUCGCAAUGCAUUUUUGUGUGUGUCAUUUUUUUCCAAAUAUAGACAUCGCAGUGUCCGCUUUCCCCCAUAAAUGCAUUUCUGAACAUUUUUGGGUUGUGGAGAACUACAUCAGAAAAUUCAGCGAGAGCAAAUCUUGAAGGAUGGCUGUGUUUCAGUUCGCAAGUUGGUUCUGGAAAUGUGACGAGCUGUAAACUGGACCAAUUUCCUCCACCACCUCCCUUUGCCUGUCAGGAUGAGCCCCACCCCCUCCCCCACCCCAACCCCAACCGAAGAAAGCAUAGCCAACAAGCAGGAAAUACACCAACAUUGGGCUGAAACAUACUUGGUUCCGCUCCCAUUUGCUGUAACAUGUUCUGGAGGCCAAGUUCCUAAGUUCUGGCCUGGGACUAGAACUCCAAACCACCUGGGUUCUUCAUAGCAUCUCCACUGUUGUUCAAAGAGCUAACUUUUGUUGAGGCCUGUUGGACGCACGGGAGAGAUCCAGAAUCUCUGGGCUAAGAAAAUGAAAAGUCACCCGGUGGGGGGGGGGGUGAGAAGGUUAGGCUUAUACAGCCACAGAAAUCCUGGCAAGUAGCUGCUUUAUCUGCAUUAGCCUCAAGACUUCCACUAGCAUUUCUCAAUAUGAUUGCAGGCUCCUUAAUGCCACUGUUGUCACGAUCUUCGAGCAAAAGCUUAUGAACCGGGUACCUCGACACUCUGGUCUGAUGCUGGAGGUGUCACCCAGCCUCUGCCCACCUGUCUCAGUG